GAUGAAGAACGUAGUGAAAUGCGAUAAGUAAUGUGAAUUGCAGAAUUCAGUGAAUCAUCGAAUCUUUGAACGCACAUUGCGCCCCUUGGUAUUCCGAGGGGCAUGCCUGUUCGAGCGUCAUUAUAACCCCUCAAGCUCAGCUUGGUGUUGGGGCCUGCCGCACGGGCAGCCCUUAAAAUCAGUGGCGGUGCCAUCUGGCUCUAAGCGUAGUAAUUCUUCUCGCUAUAGAGUCCCGGUGGAUGCUUGCCAUUAACCCCCAAUUUUCUAUGGUUGACCUCGGAUCAGGUAGGGAUACCCGCUGAACUUAAGCAUAGCAAUAAGCGGAGGA
rnacentral:misc_RNA from 1 species